GACGAACGCUGGCGGCGUGCUUAACACAUGCAAGUCGAACGGAAAGGCCCUGCUUUUGUGGGGUGCUCGAGUGGCGAACGGGUGAGUAACACGUGAGUAACCUGCCCUUGACUUUGGGAUAACUUCAGGAAACUGGGGCUAAUACCGGAUAGGAGCUCCUGCUGCAUGGUGGGGGUUGGAAAGUUUCGGCGGUUGGGGAUGGACUCGCGGCUUAUCAGCUUGUUGGUGGGGUAGUGGCUUACCAAGGCUUUGACGGGUAGCCGGCCUGGGAGGGUGACCGGCCACAUUGGAGAUGAGAUGCGGCCCAGACUCCUACGGGAGGCAGCAGUGGGGAAUAUUGCACAAUGGGCGGAAGCCUGAUGCAGCAACGCCGCGUGCGGGAUGACGGCCUUCGGGUUGUAAACCGCUUUCGCCUGUGACGAAGCGUGAGUGACGGUAAUGGGUAAAGAAGCACCGGCUAACUACGUG
rnacentral:rRNA from 1 species